rnacentral:rRNA from 1 species
CAGUAGCCGCGGGAAAACGGAGGUGGCAAGCGUUGUCCGGAUUUAUUGGGCGUAAAGCGAGCGCAGGCGGUUUCUUAAGUCUGAUGUGAAAGCCCCCGGCUCAACCGGGGAGGGUCAUUGGAAACUGGGAGACUUGAGUGCAGAAGAGGAGAGUGGAAUUCCAUGUGUAGCGGUGAAAUGCGUAGAUAUAUGGAGGAACACCAGUGGCGAAGGCGGCUCUCUGGUCUGUAACUGACGCUGAGGCUCGAAAGCGUGGGGAGCGAACAGGAUUAGAUACCCCUGUAGUCCCUGUCUCUUAUAC